GUCUUUUUGAUUUUAAUUUAAAGUCAAAUCUGCCCACUGAUUAAUAUUAAAGGGCUGCAGUAUAUUGACUGUACAAAGGUAGCAUAAUAAAUAGUCUUUUAAUUGAAGACUUGUAUGAAAGAUUUGAUGAGAUAUAAACUGUCUCUUUUUUAUAUUUAGAAUUUAAUUUUUUAGUAAAAAAGCUAAAAUUAUUUUAAAAGACGAGAAGACCCUAUAGAGUUUUAUAGUUAAUUUAUUUAUAAAUUUAUAUGUAAAAUUUAAAAUUUAAUUAAUUUAAUUAUUUUGUUGGGGUGAUAGAAAAAUAUAUUAAACUUUUUUUAAAAAAUUACAUUAAUUAAUGAGUAUAUGAUCCAUAAAUUAUGAUUAAAAGAAAAAAUUACCUUAGGGAUAACAGCGUAAUUUUUUUUUUUAGUUCUUAUAGGAAAAAGAGUUUGCGACCUCGAUGUUGGAUUAAGAUAAAAUUUAAAUGUAGAAGUUUAAAAUUUUUGAUCUGUUCGAUCAUUAAAAUCUUACA
rnacentral:rRNA from 2 species